UAAAGGGAGGGAGGGUAUGAGUAAAGGUAAAAGAAGAGAGGCACAAUUGAGUGAAAGGAGGAAGAAAGGGACAAUAAAAGAGAGAAAGGGCAUGGAGACAGUAAGAAGAAAAAGAUGGAGAGCAUAUAAUAGAGAGGAAAGGAAAGAAGGAAGCAGGUAAGAAUAGGAGAUGACCACACUGGAUGAUAAGGGAAACACCUCAUGUUUUUAUUAGGCCAUGUAAUCUACUUUCCUCUGUGUGAUCAUCCCUCUUCCUCAGGCCUCUGCACAGACUCCGCCCCGUUGGCAUCGUCCUGGCAACGGGCUGUCAGACUGAUGUUGCCGGGCGUGACUCGACGAGUUUGAAAGUCUGUCCUCUACAUGAGAGAGAGGAGGACCCCCAUUAUGGCCGCCAGAGGGUGCGUUACGUCACCUGAAAACCCUCUGCCCACUCUGGCUGCCGUGGUUGCCGGCAUCUCUUGCUGGACCAGCACCCAUCCUGGAACCGCUCUGCUUCCCUGGCUGUCGGUGCCAUUUCCUGAGGUUUUGGAUCUGGUUUCCCAUCCUGCAGGAGUUCAGCCUCACCUCAUGUCUCUCUCUCUCUGAAUGAUG